CGCGUAUUUUGCGAUGGCGGAGCUCGACCGCCGGUCGAAGUGAUGGUGUCAUUUAUCCGCUGCCCGGCAGCGCAUGCCAGCAUGCGCGAGAGGGGACAUGCAUCGCGCGGAGCAUGGGGUCGAGCCGAUCUGCACUGUCCUGCCGAUUGCCCCU
rfam:Leisingera methylohalidivorans DSM 14336 strain MB2, DSM 14336, complete genome.